GAUGAACGCUAGCUACAGGCUUAACACAUGCAAGUCGAGGGGAAACGACAUCGAAAGCUUGCUUUUGAUGGGCGUCGACCGGCGCACGGGUGAGUAACGCGUAUCCAACCUGCCCACCACUUGGGAAUAACCUUGCGAAAGUAAGACUAAUGCCCAAUGAUAUCCCACGAAGACAUCUGAAUGGGAUUAAAGAUUUAUCGGUGAUGGAUGGGGAUGCGUCUGAUUAGCUUGUUGGCGGGGUAACGGCCCACCAAGGCGACGAUCAGUAGGGGUUCUGAGAGGAAGGUCCCCCACAUUGGAACUGAGACACGGUCCAAACUCCUACGGGAGGCAGCAUUGAGGAAUAUUGGUCAAUGGGCGAGAGCCUGAACCAGCCAAGUAGCGUGCAGGAUGACGGCCCUAUGGGUUGUAAACUGCUUUUAUAAGGGAAUAAAGUGAGUCUCGUGAGACUUUUUGCAUGUACCUUAUGAAUAAGGACCGGCUAAUUCCGUGCCAGCAGCCGCCGUAA
rnacentral:rRNA from 1 species